ACUUAGUAAUGAAGACAAUUUCUGCCCUGAGAAUCUGGAUGUUGACUUGAUCAAACUUAAUGAUGGAAAACACCUGAGACCAAUGAGUCCUGAACAAAAACCCCUGUGUCCUCCAGCUGUGGGUUCUGCCAAGGACUCGUAGAGCUGAGGAUGGACAUGGAACGAUGCCUUAUGAAACAAGUUUAAAGCAUUCUAGUAUGAGAUCUACCUCGUUUAAUUUUUCCUUGCAUCGCCUUUGGCUGUCCUCUGAAUUCUCUUCUCUUUGAGAUCUGUCCAUCUCUGAGUGCAGUGGUUACAACUGGACCCUGUCUCCCAGCUAAAGACUCCCCAGUGAAAACGGAGCAGAAAAAUGACUUCCCUGACAUACAGAUGACACUGCCAAGCCAGGCCCACUUAAGGUGCUUUGUUUGCAGCCAGGCCUUUGACUCCUGAUAAUUCCACCAUCACUGCCAUCCU